CUCGUCCCUCUCCCACGCGUGCGCGCGCUCGCUCCUCGCCGAGCCGAGCUGCCGCCGCAAGUCGCCAUUGCAAGGAGGAAGCCGAGCUCCGCCCCCUUCCCAAAUCAUCCCAAAUCAGCCCGCCAAAAUCAUGUCCCUCGCGGUGUAAGCUAUCUCAAGAGGUCCUCCACCGAUUCAGCUCACAGGCCGGCCACGCGCGCCUCCGUAGGAGGUGCCCGUCAGCGAGCCGCCGUCGUGAUGCUCUAGCUCCUCCAUCGGGAACGCAAGAGUUUCCGCCGCGGGCCGCCGUGGUGACCAACGCCGUCGCGACAUCCUUAGCUUGUUCGCCGGGAACGCCGCCUUGGUCGCCGCCACGCCGCGACGUCACAGUGCACUCGUCGUCAUCCGCGCGUUUCGGCCGUUCCAGCGCACCAAAUCCUGCGCCAUCUGUGUCAUCUCGACCGGGUCUACUCCUUGUCCCUUGGAAGUGGUUAUAACGAAGGAAACGACGAGGUGAUAAGACUACGGGUUUCGCUAAUGAUUGUGAUCGACGGAUGUUUUGGAGGGGAGACCACCAGUUGGCAUGGUGGUCGACUCUUCUUAAUUCGUCUAAUUAAUUACAUGGUGUAUUAGGAGGGUACCUUGCUACUUCUACUGAGGUAUCAACCUCUGUUGUUGCUAUGUUCUGAACCUUGUGCUGGACUUAAAAGACUUCCAUUAAUGUUAACCUACCUUUGAACUCUGUGUUGGAAUAAUUUCCAUUUCCA